GUCUAACAUUGUUUCUAUAUUCCCAUAUGAGACAUUGCCUGAGAUUCAGCUUUAUUUGGACCGUUCUUCUAUCUCUUAAUCAAUACAAACUACUCUCAUAUUUACUUUUUUGUAUAUGUCAAGGUCUUUGUCCUCUUAUCAUCCUUAUAUUUACUGUAAUUUUGCCCAAAAUAUAGAUCAAUUAUUUUUCAUCUAAUUUAACUUAAAUGUCACUUCCUCAUGACAAUCUCCAUGACCUUAUUUCUAAAAUAGAUUCUUCAACUACUUGCAUACUAUCAACUCCAACACACUGAUUUAUGCAUUCAUUUUUUUUCUUUUUUCUUGUACUAUAAUGCAAUCUUUAUAAAAGAAAGUUCAUAAUACUUUCUAUUCAUUCCUAAUCUAUACACUAUUAUGGACAUGGUACAUUAGUGGAGACUUAUUAUUUAUUACAUGAUUCAGUAAGUUGCAUAAAUAAACUUUAUACUAUUCUUCAUUUUAAUGAAUAUGCAUCCCGUGCAUUGGUUAGACCAUCAUGUAGUAAUUAUGUGAGUUCUUCAAUUCAGUGACCUAGUUGACAUUGCCUAAACAUUUUAAUUUGUCACAGAUAGUCUCUGUCAUAUUCAAAACAAUACUUUGUUCACUGAACAAUUAUCUCAGCUGGGAAUAUAUUUGACAUGAAAGAAUGAGAUUCCUAAGUUUAAUUCACAGCAUCCAUGUGAAAAUGCCAGCUGCCAUAUGUUUGUGGUCCCAUCUCUGAAGAGACAGAGAGAUGAUGAUUCCUAGGCACUUACUUAUCAGGGAGUCAAAUUUCUUUUGUGAGCUGUUCCAGUGAAAGUUUAAAAACCAAGAGGACCCAGAGCUGUGUUCCCAGAGCUGAACCUGUACCUCAGCUCUCUGUCCCCAGAUCCAAUGAGGAAAUAGAUGGACUUCCAGGAGUGCUGACACACUCAAGAGCACAGGAAAGACUUUUUCUUCUCAGAGGUAACUUCCUGGAGUGCUCAGAACCCACGAAAAGAGGUGCAGUCUGUUACAGCAUACUUUUGUUUCUAUCUAUUCCAUAUAGCUGAAAUUUAUCCACAGUUCUUGGCACACAAGAUAAUUCAAGAGAGAACAACGGUCCCAUUACUGUUGACACACAGGCUAAGAGAGAAUUCAAGCCACUUUCAGAGACAGCAAAACCAGCUAACUCCAGAUGGUGAGGGGCAAGUAUAAUUCCCUAAGGAACAUAAACUGAUGUUACUAGACAUCAUCAGAAACCAGUUCUCCCACCAAAGCUAGCCCAGUCUACCCCUGACACACCAGAAAAGAGAUAGAAAAGUUUGUAGUUCAAAUCACUGAACAUGAUGAGGUUAAAGGAUUUUAAGAAGGACAUAAAUAACUCCAUCAAAGAAAUACAAGACAACAGAUGUAAAGAGAUAGAAGACCUCAUAGAGGAAACCCAAAAAUCCCUUAACGAAUUACAUUACAACAUAACCAAGCUGCUGGAGGAAUUGAAAAAUCCAUCAGGAAGUAAAAAUGGAAACAGAAAACAACAACAACAACAACAAAAACAACAACAACAACAACAACAGCAAACCACACAAAGAUGAAAACUCUGAAUAUAGAAAACCUGGGAAAGAUAUUAGGAGUCAUAAACGCAAGCAUCAACCAACAGAAUAUAAAAUAUAGAAAAGAAUCUCAGGGGCAGAAGAUACCAUAGAAAACAGUUACACAAUUGUCCAAAAAUACAAAACAAAAAACUCCUAACCCAAAACAUCCAGGAAAUCAUAGACAAAAUGAGAAGAUAAAACCUAAGGAUAAUAGGUAUAGAAGAGAAUGAAACUCCCACUUUGAAGGGUCAGUAAAUAUCUUCUACAAAAUUAUACUAGAAAUCUUCCCUAUCCUAAAGAAAGAGACAACCUUGCACGUACAAAAAGCAAAAAGAAUUCCAAAAAAAUUGGAGCAGAAAAGAAAUUUCUUCCAUCACAUAAUAGUUAAAAUAUAAAGUGCACAAAACAAAGAAAAAAAUGUUAAACGCAGUAAGGGAAAAAGGUCGAGUAACAUAAAAAGGGAGACCAAUCAGUAUUCCACACUUCUUAAAAUAGACUGUGAAAGCUAGCAAUCCUGGGCAUAUAUCACACAGAUCCUAAAUGAAAAAAAAUGUCAGCCCAGGCUACUGUAAAACCUCUCAACUACCAUAGAUGGAGAUUCCAAGAUAUGCCAUGUCAUGAGCAAAUUUACACAAUAUCUUUCCACAAAUCCAGUCCUACAAAAGAUGAUAGAUGGAAAAUUCCAGUACAAGGCAGGAAACUACACCCAGAAAAAGAAAGAACACAAUCUACUUUUAAAAAACACAAAAAAGAGAUAAAGUAGGUAGCCACAGAAACAUAAUUCGACAUUUAACAAGAAAAAUAAUAGACAAAACCAAUCAUUUUCCGAUAUCAUUAAACAUCAAAGGACUCAAAUACCUAUAAAACGACAAACACUAGAAGUCAACUGCCCUGGAAUAAAAACACUUUAUUCUUCCUCUGUCUGCAAUGGAGGGGUCAGAGACUUGGCCAUCUGAUGGACCAAAAUCUAGAAUUGACCUUGUGACUGAGGAGUGUCUCAAACAUUCAGCCUCUGCUGUAGUGUACCUGAAACUGAAUCCUUGUGAACAAGAAUCCAUAGAAGAUUCUCACUUUGUUUGUGGCUGACCAGAACUUGUUCCUCAAACCUUAUUGCAUAGCCAAUACAACUCUGACCACCAAAAAAUCUUCAAGAACAAUGGAUUGAGGUCCCUUGGCCAAUGAAUAAAAAUUCCAGCCUGGAUCCAAGGCCACUUAUCUAAGAUUCUCACCAGAAAGGCCAAUAUCCCUCACACCCAUACCUGUGCGGCUUAUAGUAAGUUUAAAUAGGGUUUAGAUCCAGUGACUUUGACACAAGAUUUCAGAAUAAAUCUCAGAUUGCUGUCAAGUCUGUAGUGGAGGCCUUGGAGAUAAGAAUUUUCUUGAGUUCUCUGAAAAUAUGGAGCCCUGGAGUGCUGGGACCAUAGUCUUCUAUAGAAGGUAAUCAGGAAUAGUCCCUUACUUUCAAACUGGUUUAAGAACUUUCUCCUUUCAAAAACAUUGGUAUUUUUUUCUGCUCAGGAUGAUUAGGCCUUAGAGUUACUCAUUUGACCAAAUGGUCUCUCAGAACCAUCCCUUUUGCUUGGGGCCCAUGGAAUAUUUUACCUCAGACCAUGGAGCAUUGAUCCCUCUGUUGAAGGUUCACUGAAAUCCAAAAGGAGGGAGCAAAUCCUGGAAUCUCAUGCUACUUCCUUGUGUAAGGUCACAUGAUAUGUUGUGAAGUCAUCAGUCUGGUGCUCAUUUCUUUUUGGUUGAAUAUAGUUUUUAGGAGGCAAUCAGGCUUAGGACACCCCCAACUUUUCUUGAAUCAUGGAAUCUAUAUUCAGUCUCUUGCAGAUUCAGCUAAAGAUGUGUAUAUGCUAGAAUGUGAAGUACCAUUAGAAGAUGAAGCAAUGUAGGACCUCUUGAGCUAUUGUAAGCAAUUUAAUUUUUUCUCAAAUACUAGGGGAAUUUGAAUACUCAAAACAAUUUCCUGUCACAGGGACAUCAGCAACUCUUCUUUACUCGGGGGUACUCAUCUAUUCUUUCUUUGAUUAAGGAGGUGUCAUAUGUUAUCCCUGAAAGAAAGGUUACUUCAUAUCAUUCUAGUUUGUCCAAAGGAAGUUUAGAUAUUAAUUUAGGGUGAGGAAACCCACACUAUUUCUUGAUAUUAUGGACUGUGCCACAGAUAUGUUUCCUAAUUUUUCCCUGGUUUCUCUGUCAGUUCAAGGUAGACUGGAGGUUCACUUGGGAUGCAAUGAAGAGCCCCUGACAAGCAUAUUCUUCAAAGCCUCCCAUGGUGUAACUGAAGAUACGAUAUGUGAAGUAGCCCUAGCUUGCCUGCUCAAGUCUUCAAAGCCCAAAGACAACUGCUGGAAUGAAAUGCAACCUAUAGGACUGAUGGAAGAAUUGCUACCUGGACUUUCAAAUGCCAUGAAAAUAUAUGGACAUUCUAAAUACUGAUAAAGAAUAGGAAGCUGAUCAAGCAAUACUGGAUCUUCCUCUGCUCCACGAGAGGUGUCCUUUCACAUGCAGAGGAAUGUGUAGAUGGACAUAUAUUUGAAUAAGAUACUGAACCUAAGACUACUGCAUUAGAGCCUCGUACAAGACUUCUAAGACUGUUGACUGCCUACCAUGGAUAUUCAGGCAUCUGCAGAUACUACCUUUUGAGGAAUGAAUCCUUCUCAGGAGACAAUAGACGGAACCUGCACUUCAAUGAUAAUUAAAUGGCACUUCAAGAUAUCAAAUCAAAAUAUCAAAGUGAGAAUGGAAUAAAUUUAUUAGUACAGUG